UUUAAUGUGUCCCACAGUGAUGUUGAUCUGUGUGGUAGUGAAUUAGGGGGAAUCCACUAAAUAUUCUGGAAGAAAAUGUGUCCAUCAAACUGAAAGCAAAGCCUCAUACAAAUGAGCACUGACACAUUCCUAAUCAAUACUCUGAUAAAGUGAUUGAUCCAUUGAUAAACAGCAUCAUGAGAGGAAUCCAAGUCCCUGUUGGAGUCAGUCAGAGCAUUUCCAUAGAGAGCCACUUUGCAUCAGCAGCACCAUGCUCCAGUGCUCUGGGAGAGUUUAUAGUCCUGAGAGUUGAACACUGGAUGACUGACAGCUGUCCUUCAUGACAACAGAAGACACAGAAAUCCUCCUCAUCAAAAACAUGACUUUGAUCUCCGUCCUCAUCUGGACUCUCCUCUGCUGCUGCUUCACAGAGUCCAGAGGCCAGGUCACAGUGACUCAGUCUGGAGCAGUGAGCUCUGCUCUGGGAGGCUCCGUCACCAUCACAUCACUCGAGCAUCAGGGAUUCCAGGUCGUUUUACAGGCAGUGGAUCAAACUCUGACUUCACUCUGACCAUCAGUGGAGUCCAGACUGAAGAUGCAGCAGUUUACUACUGUCAGAGUUUUCAUGUUAUCAACAGUCAGUAUGUGUUCACACAGUGAAAAAGCGUCGUACAAAAACCUCCCUCAGUCAGACUGAACAGAAACUGAACUGACUGCUGCAGCUGGAAGCUACUGCAGAGACUGAUACACUUCACUGAGGACACACACACACACACACACACACACACACACACACACACACACACACACAUGCUACUGAACUGAUUAAGGGAAUAGACACUUUUCAUGGCAGACAUUUUGACUUGCCAAAGCAGGAAAAGCACAGGUGUAUUUAAUUACAUUAAUGAUGGCUUCAUUACAUUUAUGUGAGCCAGUCUGAGAGCUCUGGUACUGUGCAUGCUCACUCACUGAAAGGCCUUACUGGGACACUGAAUGAAAUUGGGCCAGUAUUAAUGUUAUUAUUACACCUGUGAUUUACCUGCUUUGAUCACUCAAAAUGUCUGCUGUGAAAAGGGUCUAUUUGGAAAGGUGAGUGAGUGGGCAGGGAAGAUCUGAUGGUGCAAAGGGCGGAGUGAGAGUCACUGCAGGACAGGAGAGAGUGGCUGGAUCUGGAAUGACAUGAGAGUAAGUAGAAUCAGAAUCAGAAUCAGAAUUGGGUUUAUUGCCAAGUAAGAUUUUACACAUACAAGAAAUUUGCCUUUGUACAUUGGUGCAUUAAAAAUCACACAAAAAAUAAGUACUUUUUAAAAUAUAAAUAAAUAAAGAUAAGCAUGAAGAUAGAAAGAUCUAGAAGUAACCGAGCAAUGCAACAGAAAUAAUGUUAUAAUCUAACUGAAAGAAUAAACUAGAAUCUUGUUUUAUUUGUUGAAACAUCCUUCUUUCAAAUUGGAUCAGAAUCAGAAUCAGAAUCAGAAAUACUUUAAUAAUAAUGUGGGAAAGGCCACCCAUCCCCUGAAACAGGUUUAACAAACAGAAAACUUCAAUGAGGGAGAAAAUAUUUUAUUAUCCUUUGGAAGACAUGUUUAGGAAUAUUUUGAUCCUAUUCAUUUCACACCAAUAAUUGUAUGUAUGGUAUCAAAUAAGAACAUGCAAAAUGCACCUUGGUAAUAAAGAUUAUUGAGUUCAAUAGGCUUUAAUUAUUUAACAGAAUAAUAUCCACCUUUUUAUAACACCUUAAUCUUAAACAUGAAACAUUUGUACAAUAAGGUCUGCAGUUUUAUCUUUUCUACACUUCAAGCUGUUUGAAUUUCAGUUUGACAGGAAUGUGUAAAGAACAAAGACUUAGCCUCCAUGAUGAAGGAGGACAAGUACAAACAUGAAUACUUCAAGUGUUUAAAUUAAAACAAACUAUAUCUGUCUGCUUCAGACAUUUAAAAACUAAUUUAAAACAUUACUUUACAAUAUUGUAUUUAAUAUUUGUGCAGAAACUUACUUCCAACAUCCAGUCUGGUUCCUCCACCAAAAGUCAACCACAGUGAUACAAACUCAUUGAGCCGCCGUACAAAAACCUCUCACUGUAGAGAGACACGGCUCUCUGACUUUGACACACUGAACUAAACCUACAAACCCUCAAGAUGAAACUUUACCAUUAAAGUUGGAAAUACUGAUUCAUAUUCUGUCUUGAUAUUUUAAAUUCACUUCAAUCAGGUUUUGAAUUUAUAUACCUGAUGCAAAGUUUGUCUCUGAGUGUAAAGUAUUUCUGCAGAAGAUAUACAUUAAUAUGAAAAAUCAAGAAUUCUUCCUAGAAAUAUAUAAUAAAAGACAAAUAUGUCCUGAAAUGAAUAAAAAUAUAAAGAUUUGACUUACUUCCAACAUCCAGUCUGGUUCCUCCACCAAAAGUCCACCACAGUGAUACAAACUCAUUGAGCCGCCGUACAAAAACCUCUCACUGUCUUGACACAAACAAACUCAGCAAACAAAUUCCCAGUUUACCCAGUUUAUCUAAUAACUGGUUAAAGUGUCUAAAACAUAAACUAUGAAUAUGUAUUUAAUCUUUUUUUGUGAAAUAAGCUGUAUUAAUUAAUGUUACAUUAAAACAAUGAAAUAAGAUAUUUAAAAAAAAAACCUCUCCAAUAAAACAUGACAAAAAAUAAACAAUGAAAAUAAACACAUGUUUACUGUAGAGUAUGAAGAAUAUAAAAUAAGUAAAUAUGAAUAAAAAAAUUAUAAUUCUGUCUAAACGUGUCCCACAGUGAUGUUGAGGACUGACACAUUCC
rnacentral:lncRNA from 15 species